ACAGGGCCUGGCAUGCAGAGGGUGCUGAAGUUUGCUGGUUGACUGAAUGGACUGAGACCACGGAACUCUGAAAGACGGAACGAUUAGACUUGCAUCAUCUGACGACGAAGCAAAGGAGCUGACGUUCAUGAAGCGCUUGUUGGAUGCUGGGCACACGCUUCUAGGCUCUGAAGAACGAAAUGGCUCUAAGGGUUGUAGGUUCUAAAGAUGACGGUUCCAAAGACACUUGACUGAAAGUGACUGUCACUGAGCCCCGCUGAUGUGCCCCUGCUGUGAUGAAAGGCACUGAGAGAUGGGAUCGGAAAACGCAAUGAAACAAUCUUCAUGCUUGAUCAGUCAGAGAGGAUCUUCAGCCCUGCCCCUCAUCUCCACCUUCCGAACCCAGGAAAAGUCCACUGGUGAGAAUCCAGCUCUGGACGUGCGCUGACCAGAUGGGGUCGCAGCCCUGCCACAUCCCAGCAGGGUGACUGUGACUAAAUCUCUUAACCUGUCCAGGCUUCAGCUUCUCCAUCCGCACAUUGGGAGACAUAACUCACAGACUUGUCCUGACGAUUAAAGGAGAUAAUUCAAGCUCUUAGUAUAGUGCCCGGCCCCAAGAAAAAAUACACCAAAAGUUGAGUAUUAUUAUUUUUGCUACUGUAUCUAGUCCUUUCUUAUUUCCCAGAAACGUCAGGUCAAUUCACAUUGCAGUGAAAGACAAGAAGAAAAGUCGACCCCUUUCCGAGGCCUGUGGCCCUGAUGAUAAAACAAUGCCAGUUACGAUUUUCAGAGCCUCAGCUACACAGCAUGGGCCACUCGUUGCCAUGUGAACCUGACCCACCAGAUAAGGCAGUCAAGCGGGACCUGUAACUGAGCUGUGUGUGAAUAUGCUGCCGUGGGGUGUGCUGUUACUCGGGGACAGGCCUAACUACUGCCACAUCCACUGUGCCACAGGUCCUGUGGGGGUGGCACCAAUGAUCUAGAUAGACGCCUGCACACAGUGGACUGUGGUAUGGGAGAGGACGCUAAACUUAAGAACGCAAGUCUUUUCUAAUGACUGCCCUUUGCACUGGAGGGAGAUUCUGUCUCGGUCUUCCAUGGCUAGUCACUGUACCAAUAUCCUUGGGAAGAGAGUCCAGGACAAAGGCAGUCAGUUGCCUCGCUUGCAAAAUGCACAGAACCUCAAGAGAUCCCUGGAGAAUUGUCUUACAGUAAUAUCCACCCCUCAUUUCUACACUGUCUUGGCUUUGGGCGAAUUUUCCCGUGAGUUCACCACUCUGUUGGCAAAUCUGAUCGACAGAGGCUAGGACCCAAUCUGUUCAAUUUGUGUCAUCAGCACUUAAUUAAAGCUGCUACCAACAGAACGACGAACAGCAAGAUGAAGCCAGCUUGCAGUACUGCCCUCAACCAUGCCUCCCAGAUGAGCAAGUCCAUAAAGCAUCACAUCUACCUCAGAAAGCCAGGUGGCUCGCUCCUUAAUUCUCCGCAUCAACCUUUCCACCUUGGCCCAGAAGGCAUUCAGGAGAGCCUCAGUUCACUGACCAAGGUUGCUAUGGAUGAUAGAUUUCUUCUGUACUUCUUCCUUGCAGGCUAGAGUCUGUGCAAUCAGUAUAGCUGCUGCACCUGGGUUAAUGCUGCCAGCCAUGAGUAAGAAGGUCCUUUUUCUCUGACCCAGGAGUCUCCUGUCU